GAUGAACGCUGGCGGCGUGCCUAAUACAUGCAAGUCGAGCGAACGGACGAGAAGCUUGCUUCUCUAAUGUUAGCGGCGGACGGGUGAGUAACACGUGGAUAACCUACCUAUAAGACUGGGAUAACUUCGGGAAACCGUAGCUAAUACCGGAUAAUAUUUUGAACCGCAUGGUUCAAAAGUGAAAGACGGUCUUGCUGUCACUUAUAGAUGGAUCCGCGCUGCAUUAGCUAGUUGGUAAGGUAACGGCUUACCAAGGCAACGAUGCAUAGCCGACCUGAGAGGGUGAUCGGCCACACUGGAACGGAGACACGGUCCAGACUCCUACGGGAGGCAGCAGUAGGGAAUCUUCCGCAAUGGGCGAAAGCCUGGCGGAGCAACGCCGCGUGAGUGAUGAAGGUCUUCGGAUCGUAAAACUCUGUUAUUAGGGAAGAACAUAUGUGUAAGUAACUGUGCACAUCUUGACGGUACCUAAUCAGAAAGCCACGGCUAACUACGUG
rnacentral:rRNA from 1 species